AUGAGCCUACGGGGGGCAGCAGUGGGGGAUAUUGCACAAUGGGGGGAACCCUGAUGCAGCGACGCCGCGUGAGUGAGGAAGUAUUUCGGUAUGUAAAGCUCUAUCAGCAGGGAAUAGAAAAGAAGGUACCUGAAAAAGAAGCCCCGGCUAACUACGUGCCAGCAGCCGCGGUAAUACGUAGGGGGCAAGCGUUAUCCGGAUUUACUGGGGGUAAAGGGAGCGUAGACGGAAAGGCAAGUCAGAAGUGAAAACCCAAGGCUCAACCAU
rnacentral:rRNA from 1 species